rfam:Aedes aegypti strain Liverpool supercont1.191 genomic scaffold, whole genome shotgun sequence.
CCAUUGGUUCCUCUAGGAACCAAGAAUAGUAAAAUUUUGAUUUUUU